rnacentral:rRNA from 1 species
AGCGAACGCUGGCGGCAGGCCUAACACAUGCAAGUCGAACGAACCUUUCGGGGUUAGUGGCGGACGGGUGAGUAACACGUGGGAACGUGCCUUUAGGUUCGGAAUAACUCAGGGAAACUUGUGCUAAUACCGAAUGUGCCCUUCGGGGGAAAGAUUAAUCGCCUUUAGAGCGGCCCGCGUCCGAUUAGCUAGUUGGUUGAGGUAAUGGCUCACCAAGGCGACGAUCAGUAGCUGGUCUGAGAGGAUGAUCAGCCACAUUGGGGCUGAGACACGGCCCAAACUCCUACGGGAGGCAGCAGUGGGGAAUCUUGCGCAAUGGGCGAAAGCCUGACGCAGCCAUGCCGCGUGAAUGAUGAAGGUCUUAGGAUUGUAAAAUUCUUUCACCGGGGACGAUAAUGACGGUACCCGGAGAAGAAGCCCCGGCUAACUUCGUG